GACAGAGGUGCCAAGCGUUAGGCGGAAUCACUGGGCUUAAAGCGUGUGUAGGUGGUUUAAAAAGUCCACUGUUAAAAAUUGAAGCUUAACUUCAAAGAUGCCGUGGAAACUUUUAAACUUGAGUAUGAUAGGGGUAGAGGGAAUUUCCAGUGGAGCGGUGAAAUGCGUAGAUAUUGGAAAGACCACCAAUGGCGAAGGCACUCUACUGGGCCAUUACUGACACUGAGAGACGAAAGCUAGGGGAGCGAAUGGG
rnacentral:rRNA from 1 species